GGCUCAGUGGUCUAGUGGUAUGAUUCUCGCUUUGGGUGCGAGAGGCCACGGGUUCGAUUCCCUUAUGAGCCC
rnacentral:tRNA from 1 species